AUAAAGUGGACAGCUGACUGAAAAGCAAAUAAACACGCAAAACAGCUCAUGUAAAAGAUUAGAAAUGAUAACAAUCGUCGAUGGCAACAAAUAGGCAACUCGCCGAUUUAUUGCCUCAUUCGUAUACGGAAUUGCUGCCGAAUUGUUGUCGAGAUUAAAAAUAGGCUUUUACUUUCAUCAUAAACAAAAGAUGUUUUUCUCUGUUACUCUCCCAUAGCAGUGAAAAUACAAUACAAUAAAUAAUAAUACAAUGGAAACUGAAAUCUUUUGCGCAAUUAAAGAUGAAGAAUCCCUUUCAGUGCAAGGUUCAAUGCAUUUAAUCUUGAGCGAAGUGAAAUCCCUACGAAGAGUUAUAACUCAUUUAUCCAAAGAGGUUUUGUCGUUAAGGAACGAGGUUCGCCAAUUAAAAAACAUUCAGGAAGGCACUAAACCUGCUAAGCAGUCUACUCAUCUUCCUGUCAUGCCCUUCAAUGAGAAAACAGCCUUCGACAAGUUUAUUAAGGAACUAGCGGAUAAGGAAUCGGUCCUAAAUGAAUUCGUUUUCUGCGAGCUGCCAUGAAAGCUGUAUUAACAGAUAAUUUGGCACAACAAUUUUCAUGGAAGGGUACAAAGCGAAAACCGGCGCUGAUUGGUAAUGUUGCGGUGACAGUCAUCAAAGAAAUAUGCUACCGACAUUUUCCAAAUGCGGAUGACUUUCGGAUUAAUACUAUUCUCCAAAAGCAUCUAAUUUAUGCCAAAGACAGGAUAGAAAAGAAAAGGAAGCGUCAUAGCGAGGGAAAUAGUUGAUUUCUUUUUAAAAAUAUAAUCUUACAAAAAAAAAAA
rnacentral:misc_RNA from 1 species